rnacentral:rRNA from 1 species
AUUGAACGCUGGCGGCAGGCCUAACACAUGCAAGUCGAACGGUAACAGGAAACAGCUUGCUGUUUCGCUGACGAGUGGCGGACGGGUGAGUAAUGUCUGGGAAACUGCCUGAUGGAGGGGGAUAACUACUGGAAACGGUAGCUAAUACCGCAUAACGUCGCAAGACCAAAGAGGGGGACCUUCGGGCCUCUUGCCAUCGGAUGUGCCCAGAUGGGAUUAGCUAGUAGGUGGGGUAACGGCUCACCUAGGCGACGAUCCCUAGCUGGUCUGAGAGGAUGACCAGCCACACUGGAACUGAGACACGGUCCAGACUCCUACGGGAGGCAGCAGUGGGGAAUAUUGCACAAUGGGCGCAAGCCUGAUGCAGCCAGGCCGCGUGUAUGAAGAAGGCCUUCGGGUUGUAAAGUACUUUCAGCGGGGAGGAAGGGAGUAAAGUUAAUACCUUUGCUCAUUGACGUUACCCGCAGAAGAAGCACCGGCUAACUCCGUG